GCAUCUGUAUGUGUGGGUUUAUGGGAGUGGGUUUCUUUUCCAGAGUGCGUUUUAAUGCGCUUGGAAGUUGUUGUGGUUGUGUUUGUGUGUGUGUGUGUGUGUGUGUGUGUGUGUGUGUUUGUGUAUGUCUUCUCCCCAAGUGGUUGAUGUCACUCAGUAGCAGAGCAGAGGAGCAUCUCCGGUUUCCUGGGCUCACAAAGAAAAUAACGGCCGCUCUGUUGCAGCGCUCCAUUCUUCCAGCAGCCUACAGAGACCUGGAUUUCACUGACUCCUCUAAACUGGACAAAACACAGUAAGCAAGUAUGUGUUACAAAAUGGACCUACCGGGCACAGAUGCAGGGGCCAAAGAGGUAUCGGAAGCACCGAAGAAAGAUUGUCUGGGAUCCCAAAGGGCGAAAGAAUGAAACUUGAGCCUCGGAUAAAAGCACUCAUUUAUUGGGUUAUCGAACCGAAGGACAGAGAGCUGUUGGUGGUGGAAGAGGAGGUGGGGGGUGAGGCAGUGGUCCUGACUGUCUGCCGUGGCCCCCCGAGAGAGCGAGCGGGAGUCAUGGAUUUAAAAAACAAAUGAACGGUUACAAGAGGAGAGAGAAGGGGAGUAAUCUGACCCCUCCCCUGUUUUGCAUUCACAUUCAAGAAAUACUCUCGGCUACUUCUACACCCCCACCCACCCACCCAGAACUGGUCUGAACACACACACACACACUCCUCCUCCUCUGAGAGACAGCUUUCAGAAUUGGAUUACCAGCUCUGAAUGGGGUCGGUUCCCCUCCGCUGGGUUUCAUCUCCAUCCCCUGUCGGGACUAGUGGUCCACACUCUAACACACACACACACACACACACACACACACACGCUCACACACUAGUCCUCCUUAAUUGGUGGGCUGUGCCCUCAUUACAUGUCCAAAUAUAUGCAUGUGCUGCCAUUGUCUCUCCCCAAAGACUCCCUCUUUGAAUGCGGACUGAAAGCGUGCGCCAUGCUGUGUGUUUGUGUGCGUGUGUGCGUGUAGUGAUCACAGCUGUGGAUGUGUCCUUGAUGGCGGUGAACUUGAAUCUCAAUCUGACGCUAUUCUUCUCUGGGGGGGUUCGGAGACAAAGCUUCAUACUGCUUAUGGGGACACCCUGAGCACUCUUUCACUCACCGACCUACACACACACACACACACACACACACACACACACACACACAUAUACACACACCCACACACACACAUGCAGGUGAGCUCAGUGGGAGCUCGGAGAAAGAGAUCUGGUGUCUUGUUUUCUGCUGCAGGCAGUUGCUCUCACACUGAUAAAUAUAUAUAUAAUACCUCCGAAUAAAAUAUUCAAGCACAAGUGAGUAAAAUGGCAGAACCUCUUCAGCAAAAAACACAAUUAUCUCAAAUCUAAACCAAACACUGCAGCAGUGAGGGAACCAAAACACUCCCUGAGCUCAUUUUUGGUCAUCUAAAAUGCAGACCAGCUGCUUGCUGACGAACAUUUUCGGAUAAAAUAUACCUCCAGACAGCAAUCCAUAGCUAUCAAAGACAGCUUUUAUGUAUUUGGUUUUGUAAAGCUAACAGGUAUAAAGUCAACAACCAUUGUAAAAUCAAAUAAAGUGCAGCUGCCACUACAUUUUACAUGGUUAAAGUUUUAUUUCCUCAACAUCGUGCAAUAUAUAAAGAAACUAUUUGUAACUGGCCAGUUUCCUUCCUGCUUUGUCUGCCUCAAUGCAUCUAUCAAAAUGCUGGUUUUAAUCCCUGAUUAUCAAACAGUGGAGGUUUUUAAAGAGGUAUGAUGGGAAAUAAAGUUCUGCUUUAUCUCCAUGAUCUCCAACUUGUGUAUUUUCUGCUUGAAUUAUGGGGAAAAUAUUCCCAAAUCUCAAGACAUGGAAAUAAGUCCAUAGUUUUCUUGCUGAUUCAUUGAAAUUUAUGAUAUAUUGAAGCUGCUUUAAUCAAUAUUUCAAUAUUAGCAAUGGAUCAAUGUCUUUAUGUAAUGUGAAUGAGGGUUGCUCAUAGUGACUUCACUAAGCUCUGCUGAGUUUUUUAGCAUCUUUGAGUUCAUUGUUUUCGUUUUACUUUAAUGUGUCACUCUCACCAGCUUAGUUUUCGGCAGGCAGCUGUUUUCAGUGAAAGAGCUCCGAUAAACCCACUGUACGCCACCUGCUCAGUACCAAACGACCAUCAGUUAGCGACUAGCUGGUGAACAUUUAGCAGCUCAAGAGCCAGAUAUUUUUCUCAGGAGUUGGUGGAGACCAAAACAGAGCUGAAAGAGUGAAUAUUGGACUUAUAUUCAUCAGGUGGCCAGAAACACGACUUAAAGUGAAUGAUAAUGUUGUUCUGUGUUCGCUGGAUGUAUAAACAAAAAGACGUUGUCUCUAUUGUGUUUACAGCUUGUUGUGCUGCCCCAAGUGAACUGAAUAAACUGAAUAAGUAACUAACUAACUUUUUUAAAGUGCUGUGGAGAAAAUCACAACACUUGUAUAGAAACAAGGGCUGACUAAUUAUAGUGGAGAAAAAGUGUUGAUUUGCAUUUAAAAUUUCUUCCAGACUUCUUCCAGACUUUUUCUCAUUUAUUUUGUCAGAUGUCUUUUUGAGCGCAGAAACAUGUUCCAGUAUUCAGGAAUUACAUAAUGACAAUAAUGACCCUAGACAAUUUUAUUUGUUUGAUUAUAUAUAUAUAUUUUUGUUCUUUCAUUUCCUGUUCUAAUCCAUCCAUCUGUCAAUCAUCCUUCUUUCAUCGUUUAACAGAUUAUUGUGCCGACAGCAGAGGCGUGAUUAGUCAGCCAGAGGUGUGACCGUCACGCCUGUCAUCCCUCACUUUACACAUCCCUCGCUUAACCCCAACCUCAGUAAAAACGAUACUUAACCAUAUUCUCCUUCACGUUCUCGCCUCCACACCCACAUCCCCAUCACUCCCUCCUUACUUUCACACUCUCACUCAUUUCCCCCCUCUAUCUGUCUCUGUCUAGAAGGUUUUCUGUACGAUGACCUGGUUGUGCUGGCAGCGACAUGCUUAUGCAAUGCAUGUUAGAGCUUCUGGUGACACACAGACAAAGAGGAGAGGACUGGAGGUGGAGUGUUUAUGUGAAUGUAUGUACAGAAGAAAGGAGGACACAGGGCUUUUUUCAGUGUGUGGGGUGUGUGAGACAACAGCUGUGGAUAAUAUUCAUAUCAGUGUUUCUCUUGUCUGCUGAAGAUUGAAAUGUGACCUACUGACAACAAUUGACUACAUGAGUCUGGAAAAAAAGUAAAUAGUACACUUUGCUCUUUUUCUCUCUCAUUUCAGUGCUGGAUGAUUUACAUUAGAAUAAUGUUGGUUAUACAUGACAUUUUGUAGAUUUAAAAUAAAACCAUGUUGUCUUGAAACAAGACAAUAGAGCAAUACCAUUCAGUACUUAGUUGUAAUCAUAGAUGUACAGAAGUCAAAAAAUGAGAAUGAUUUUUAUUACCUCAUGACAUCUAUGAAAUGUUGAUCAUAGCAUGAUUAUGUCAUCAGGGGCAGAGAUUUGAGAAGCAGUAAGCUGCGGUUUUAAACCAAAAAACUUUAAGAAACCCCAGUAUGUUACCUGCCCAGCACCAAAUGUCAGAAAGUUAAAAGUUAGCAACUAGCUGGUGAACAUAGUGGAGCAUUAAGCAGCUAAAGAACCAGAUAUUUCAGGAGGUGGUAGAGACCAAAACAGAGCUAAAAAGAGUAAACUUACAUUGGCCAGAUAUCCACAAACAUGACUGUCAAUAAAUUAUAUUUUUGUUCCAUGUCUGCUGGAUAUGUAAGUAGGAAAAUGUUUGCUAACACCACAACAACUUUAUAAGUGGAUAAUAAGUAAAUGUUGUGUUUCCAGUUUACAGCAGACACCAAGUGGCCAAAAAAAAGAGGUCGCUUUUCAGGAAAAUGUAGGUUGUUGUAAAUAUUUGAACUAACGAAGAAAAUUAAAACGAGCACUUUACUCACACUUUCAAAAUGCUUCAAAAUCAUAAGUAGCACCACUCUUUUGAAAGCACACAUGCAAAUUCCAACUGUUGCCAUUUAAGUCCCAGAUCAAGAAAGGAAAGAAACUUAAGUAUACAACUAAAAACUAUAGUCCAA